rnacentral:tRNA from 1 species
CGCGGGGUGGAGCAGCUGGUAGCUCGUUGGGCUCAUAACCCAAAGGUCGUAGGUUCGAAUCCUACCCCCGCUACAA